CGCCGUCCGGGUCCGCUCGCCCCGCGGCCGCCGAGGCCGUUAGGGCCUCUCCCUCCCCGCCAGCAGCCGGCCCUCCGCGCCGCCACUGGUUGCCAUGGGGACGCGGCCGGAACAAGCCGCCGCCGCGGAGGGAUGAAAUUGUUUCGGAAAGGAUGAGGAGAGCAGGAAGUUCCUGAGUCUAAAGGAGUGGAAGAGUGUGACCAGAGUGCUGGUAUGAGAUGGCAAGAGAGCUCAACGCUGAAAGAGAAUUAGAGGACACAGCAAGAAACUGCCCAUUUAUGCCACGUGAAAGGCACUGUGGAAGAAGAAGGAUCCAGGAAGAGAAGAGUGCAAAGAAAACUUCAUCUGAAAUAAGCAAGGUGUUUUUUCAAGCCAUAAAAACAAAAAGAAGCUCACCCUCAGCAAAAGUUAAGGAAUAUAAAUUUAAAAAAUGCCAUACUUUCUCUCAUAGGAUUGAGAAAAAUUAGAAAGACUAAUGACAUUUACAAUUAGCAAAGAUAUAGAGACACUCUCAUCUGCUGCUUGGGAGAGUGUAAAUUGUUACAAUUAUUUGGGGGAGAAAAUUUGACAAUAUCUAUAUCAAUUUAAAAUGGGCAUAGCCAGAGAUUCCAUUUUAAGAAUUUACCCUACAGAAAUAAUACCUUAAGAACAUAAAGAUAUAUAUGC